GCAGUCUGCAACUCGACUGCGUGAAGGUGGAGUCGCUAGUAAUCGCGGAUCAGCAACGCCGUGGUGAAUGCGUUCCCGGGCCUUGUACACACCGCCCGUCAAGUCAUGAAAGUGGGCAGCACCCGAAGACGGUGGCCUAACCCUUGUGGGGGGAGCCGUCUAAGGUGAGGCUCGUGAUUGGGACUAAGUCGUAACAAGGUAUC
rnacentral:rRNA from 1 species